rnacentral:lncRNA from 1 species
AGGAAGUGAAUCUUCACAGGGAAGGAAGCAACAAAACUCUGCCUUUGGCUUUUGCUGGCUGAGCAGGGAAAGGCCUAUAGACACAGGGCAUUGGGCAGGAGCUAGAACAGCCCUCCCUAGAGCACUACAUAAAGCAGCCAAUAUUUUGCAAAGCAUAGGGAAGAGUGAAAGUCAUCCGGGGCAUUUGCAGACACAGCACUAAGAACUUGGUGACAACAGCCCUGAAGCAAAACAGCAGCAUGUACUGGGCAGGGCUUGGGAGAUAAGACAGGACAUCUGAAGCUAAACAUGGAAGGAGGGAAGGGAAGGAGGAAGAAAAUGUUAAAAGAUCGUUUUUUAAGGUAAAAAUCAUAACUCUUUACUCAUA